rnacentral:rRNA from 1 species
UACGAAGGGGGCUAGCGUUAUCCGGAUUUAUUGGGUUUAAAGGGUGCGUAGGCGGCCUCUUAAGUCAGUGGUGAAAGCCCGCGGCUCAACCGCGGAACUGCCAUUGAUACUGGGAGGCUUGAGUACAGACGAGGUAGGCGGAAUUGAAGAUGUAGCGGUGAAAUGCUUAGAUAUCUUCAAGAACACCGAUUGCGUAGGCAGCUUACUAGGCUGUAACUGACGCUGAGGCACGAAAGCGUGGGGAGCGAACAGG